CUCCGUCUUAAAAUUCUUGUUUUAAAUUUGUCUAGAUACGGAUGUAUCUAAUACUAAAAUGUGACUUGAUACAUCCGUAUUUAGACAAAUCUAAGACAAGAAUUUUGAGACGGAG
rnacentral:pre_miRNA from 1 species